rnacentral:rRNA from 1 species
GAGAACGAACGCUGGCCGGCAUGCCGUAAUACAUGGCAAGUCGAACGAGACCUUCGGGUCUAGUGGCGCACGGGUGCGUAACGCGUGGGAAUCUACCCUUGGGUUCGGAAUAACAGUUGGAAACGACUGCUAAUACCGGAUGAUGACGAAAGUCCAAAGAUUUAUCGCCCAGGGAUGAGCCCGCGUAGGAUUAGCUAGUUGGUGAGGUAAAGGCUCACCAAGGCUACGAUCCUUAGCUGGUCUGAGAGGAUGAUCAGCCACACUGGGACUGAGACACGGCCCAGACUCCUACGGGAGGCAGCAGUAGGGAAUAUUGGACAAUGGGGGCAACCCUGAUCCAGCAACGCGCGUGAGUGAUGAAGGCCUUAGGGUGUAAAGCUCUUUUACCCGAGAUGAUAAUGACAGUAUCGGGAGAAUAAGCUACCGGCUAACUCCGUGCCAGCAGCCGC